rnacentral:rRNA from 1 species
GGGGAAUCUUGCGCAAUGGGCGAAAGCCUGACGCAGCAACGCCGCGUGGGGGAUGAAGGCUCUCGGGUUGUAAACCCCUUUCAGCAGGGACGAAUCAAGACGGUACCUGCAGAAGAAGCCCCGGCUAACUACGUGCCAGCAGCCGCGGUAACACGUAGGGGGCAAGCGUUGUCCGGAUUUAUUGGGCGUAAAGAGCUCGUAGGCGGCUGAGUAAGUCGGAUGUUAAAUCCCCAGGCUCAACCUGGGACACCACCCGAUACUGCUCUGGCUAGAGUCCGGUAGGGGAGCGUGGAAUUCCUGGUGUAGCGGUGAAAUGCGCAGAUAUCAGGAGGAACACCAGCGGCGAAGGCGGCGCUCUGGGCCGGAACUGACGCUGAGGAGCGAAAGCGUGGGUAGCAAAC